rnacentral:piRNA from 1 species
GUAUCUGCAAGUCCCACGAAGCACAGCA